rnacentral:rRNA from 1 species
AUGUGCUUGCACAUCGCUGACGAGUGGCGGACGGGUGAGUAAUGCUUGGGAACUUGCCUUUGCGAGGGGGAUAACAGUUGGAAACGACUGCUAAUACCGCAUAAUGUCUACGGACCAAACGGGGCUUUUAGCUCCGGCGCAAAGAGAGGCCCAAGUGAGAUUAGCUAGUUGGUAAGGUAAAGGCUUACCAAGGCAACGAUCUCUAGCUGUUCUGAGAGGAAGAUCAGCCACACUGGGACUGAGACACGGCCCAAACUCCUACGGGAGGCAGCAGUGGGGAAUAUUGCACAAUGGGGGAAACCCUGAUGCAGCCAUGCCGCGUGUGUGAAGAAGGCCUUCGGGUUGUAAAGCACUUUCAGUUGUGAGGAAAAGUUGGUAGUUAAUACCUG